GUUUCCCCUCCCUCCAAACAGGGACCAUGGUUUUUAAAACUAAUAAACCCCUUAAACCUCAUGAAGCCCACUUCAACCUUUUUAAAUGGCUAUUUUCAGAAAGGAAAAGGGAAAAAGAAGAAGCCAGGAAACAUGUUUGGGGCAAUGCCUUGGCAGGAGGGGGAAUGACCCCUGCCAGGGCAGAUGGCAUCUGCCCCUCCCUCAGGUCCAAGGUGGCAGCCCAUGAAGAAUCUGGGAGGGGAAAGCCUCCCACUCGUGGAAGAGCCUUGGAAGUCCUCAUAGAAAGGAGAGACUGAACAGACAGGCGCAGGAGACAGGAACUUCAUGGUACAGAGAGGCUCUGGAGAAGGUUCAACAGGUUGGAAUUUCAAAAUCAGAGAAGGACCAGCAAAGUUGAUUUGGAAGUGCCCCAGGGAGAGGCUGGUGUGAGCCACUCUGCAUUUGCCACAUGGGCUGAGGAUCCUCCCCAGCUUCCUGAGGGAUGGCAUCAGCUCUUACAAUUUCUGAGGGUGAAACGGGUCUUUGGAGUUUCUGGAUUUGCCUCCCGGACACAAGGAGAUUCCCAGCAAAUCCGCUAUUUACACUUGUAAAUAGAAGUGUUUCGCUUCUAUU